GACGAACGCUGGCGGCGUGCUUAACACAUGCAAGUCGAACGGAAAGGCCCUGCUUUUGUGGGGUGCUCGAGUGGCGAACGGGUGAGUAACACGCGAGUAACCUGCCCUUGACUUUGGGAUAACUUCAGGAAACUGGGGCUAAUACCGGAUAGGAGCUCCUGCUGCAUGGUGGGGGUUGGAAAGUUUCGGCGGUUGGGGAUGGACUCGCGGCUUAUCCGCUUGUUGGUGGGGUAGGGGCUUACCAAGGCUUUGACGGGUAGCCGGCCUGGGAGGGGGACCGGCCACAUGGGGACUGAGAUACGGCCCAGACUCCUACGGGAGGCAGCAGUGGGGAAUAUUGCACAAUGGGCGGAAGCCUGAUGCAGCGACGCCGCGUGCGGGAUGACGGCCUUCGGGUUGUAAACCGCUUUCGCCUGUGACGAAGCGUGAGUGACGGUAAUGGGUAAAGAAGCACCGGCUAACUACGUG
rnacentral:rRNA from 1 species